rnacentral:rRNA from 2 species
UCCGGUGUUGAUAGCUGUGGGGUUCCACCUGUUCCCAUACCGAACACAGUAGUUAAGCCCAUAUACGCUGAAAGUACUUGGCUGGAAACGGCCUGGGAGGAUAAGUAAAUGCCGGUU